rnacentral:rRNA from 1 species
UGAGAAAGGCAAUUCCGGUUGUCUGGAGCCAUCAGUGAGAUACCACUCUGGGAGAGCUAGGAGUCUAAUGGCGUUCCUUGAAUCAGGACGCUUGACAGUUUCAGGUGGGCAGUUUUACUGGGGCGGUAGCCUCCUAAAAGGUAACGGAGGCGUGCAAAGGUUCCCUCAGGCUGGACGGAAAUCAGCCAUAGAGUGUAAAGGCAGAAGGGAGCUUGACUGCAAGACCUACAAGUCGAGCAGGGACGAAAGUCGGCCUUAGUGAUCCGACGGUGCCGUGUGGAAGGGCCGUCGCUCAACGGAUAAAAGUUACUCUAGGGAUAACA